rnacentral:rRNA from 1 species
AUUGAACGCUGGCGGCAGGCUUAACACAUGCAAGUCGAGCGGGGUGAUGGUGCUUGCACUAUCACUUAGCGGCGGACGGGUGAGUAAUGCUUAGGAAUCUGCCUAUUAGUGGGGGACAACAUCUCGAAAGGGAUGCUAAUACCGCAUACGUCCUACGGGAGAAAGCAGGGGAUCACUUGUGACCUUGCACUAAUAGAUGAGCCUAAGUCGGAUUAGCUAGUUGGUGGGGUAAAGGCCUACCAAGGCGACGAUCUGUAGCGGGUCUGCGAGGAUGAUCCGCCACACUGGGACUGAAACACAGCCCAGACUCCUACGGGAGGCAGCAGUGGGGAAUAUUGGACAAUGGGGGGGACCCUGAUCCAGCCAUGCCGCGUGUGUGAAGAAGGCCUUAUGGUUGUAAAGCACUUUAAGCGAGGAGGAGGCUCUUUUGGUUAAUACCCAAGAUGAGUGGACGUUACUCGCAGAAUAAGCACCGGCUAACUCUGUGCCAGCAGCCGCCGUAA